AUUGAACGCUGGCGGCAUGCUUUACACAUGCAAGUCGAACGGUAACAGGCCUUCGGGCGCUGACGAGUGGCGAACGGGUGAGUAAUGCAUCGGAACGUGCCCAGUCGUGGGGGAUAACGCAGCGAAAGCUGUGCUAAUACCGCAUACGAUCUGUGGAUGAAAGCGGGGGACCUUCGGGCCUCGCGCGAUUGGAGCGGCCGAUGUCAGAUUAGGUAGUUGGUGGGGUAAAGGCCCACCAAGCCAACGAUCUGUAGCUGGUCUGAGAGGACGACCAGCCACACUGGGACUGAGACACGGCCCAGACUCCUACGGGAGGCAGCAGUGGGGAAUUUUGGACAAUGGGCGCAAGCCUGAUCCAGCAAUGCCGCGUGCAGGAAGAAGGCCUUCGGGUUGUAAACUGCUUUUGUACGGAGCGAAAAGGCUCUCUCUAAUACAGGGGGCUCAUGACGGUACCGUAAGAAUAAGCACCGGCUAACUACGUGCCAGCCGCCGCAGUAAAAC
rnacentral:rRNA from 1 species